UCCCUGGCGGUCCAGUGGUCAGGACUCGGCGCUUUCACUGCCGCGGGCCCAGGUUCGAUCCCUGGUCAGGAAC
rfam:TPA: Bos taurus chromosome 1, whole genome shotgun sequence.